UCAAAUUACAACAUGACCCCUGUCUUCCUUAUUCAGCUCGUUUCAUAUACAACAAUCACAAUUAACAACCAAGCAUUUAGGGCAAAUCCAACACAAAAUCAAUUAUAAAUCCAACAAUCCCUAACUCUCACUUCAAUCAGUUUGUAAAAACGUAGUUUACUAGAAGUUGGAACUCUAUUGAGGCAAAAUCCAACUACUUGCAACAAAUCGGGAGAUCGAUUAUCAUUGCUGCAAGAUCCGAAUUAAUUGCAACAGCCCGGAGGAUCGACGACGGUCAUCCAACAUGCGAUUGGGACAGGAAUGAAAGGGAAAUUUGGAUUAGUGUUUCAAGCCACCACCAUUAACGGCCCAGAAAAAGAAUACGUUAAUCCCAAGAACCUUCAGGUGUGAGGCAGUGGGAAUAGCUUCCGCAAGGAUAAAAAAUGAGAACUGGAACCACAAGCAUCAGAACUUAAGUGUAGCUGCAGAUGAAAAUCAGGCCAAGCAUACAGUUCAGAACCAGAUUAACGAUGAGGGAACUGUCAGUAUAAGAUAUUAAAAAUAGAAUCACUCCAUUUUUUUACUUAUUUGAUGCAAUUGUUACAUUUAUAUAUUUAUGCACAAGCAACAUUUACAAAUUUACUUCUAAUAUAGAGACCCGUCGCGGACAAGGAGAAAUAUUAUGAGAAAGAAUUGAGUCCUAGAAAACAAGAUUCUGUGGCUAAACCAGAGAACAAGGCCGUUGUCCAGUCACUGAUGGUUUCAAGCCGCAUUCCCCCUGCUGAUCCAACUAAUAUGUACCUAGUAAGGCUCCCCAACAUAGUGGCCAUUGAUCCGAGGCCAUAUGAUCGAAGCACGUAUGUUGUACAGGACUUGUUUGCGACAGAUAGUUCUGGCUCUAGAAGACAAAUCCCUUUCAAAAUUAUCAUUCGUUGGAAGCAUGUCAAGAAUCCUGAUGGUACAACGUCUUUAAGUUUAUUUGUUGAUGUUUUAUUACUAAUUUAACACAUGAGAUCAUGCAUGAUCAUGAAACUUUAGUCAACCCUUCAUAUUUCCAUUGGCCAUGGGCCAGAUUCAAUAUAGAAGUACCGCUGGAGUUAUUCUACACAUAAUUUUUGGAUUAAAAUCAUGUCAUUAUUCUGAAUUACAAAAAAUGUGUAACUGCUUUACGACAACUUGCUAAUUUUUUUCGGAAUGAAAAUUAAUAUGAUGUUAUUAUAGAA